CCUCUGGUGGUCCAGUGGCUAAGACUCCUGCUUCCAAUGCAGAUGGGCCUGGGUUCAAUCCCUGGUCAGGGAA
rnacentral:tRNA from 1 species